GAUCAGAAGCACAGCAGGACUGCCUCCUGCCCGGUAAGGAGCUUGCUCCGAAGCCACGGGAGUCAUUGUGGAGGGGAUGCUGGGAGCUUCACAGGUUGGCCAGCACUUGAACCUGUUUCUACCCAGAAGCUCAAAUGGUGGAAGGGAGUGAAAGCCUUUGUCUCUUGCAGCAAGGUCAGGUUCAUCUUGGGAAUAAGGACUCAUACCUCAAAAGGAUGUAUAAUCUCAAAAAAGCUUAAGAAUCACUACUCUGGAGAAACUUCAGAAAUGAAAAUAAACCCUCAGGGACUCUUUCAACAGAAAAUAAUCUGAAGGAUAAAAACCACAUGAUUAUUUCAGCAUGGAUGAAAAGAGCAAAACAUUAGAAGAGACCUCAAUGUGCAAAAAAGGAAAAUUAAUUAAUAAUGUUAUACCAUACGACCCAGCAAUCCCACUACUGGGCAUAUACCCUGAGAAAACCAUAAUUCAAAAAGAGUCAUGUACCACAAUGUUCACCGCAGGACUAUUUACAAUAGCCAGGACAUGGAAGCAACCUAAGUGUCCACUGACAGAUGAAUGGAUAAAGAAGAUGUGGCACAUAUAUACAAUGGAAUAUUACUCAGCCAUGAAAAGAAAUGAAAUUGAGUUAUUUGUGGUGAGGUGGAUGGACCUAGAGUCUGUCAUACAGAGUGAAGUAAGUCAGAAGAGAAAAACAAAUACCAUAUGCUAACACAUAUACAUGGAAUCUAAAAAAGAAAAAUGGUUCUGAAGAACCUAGGGGCAGGAGAGGAAUAAAGACCCAGAUGUAGAGAAUGGACUUGAGGACACAGGGAGGGGGAAGGGUAAGCUGGGACGAAGUGAGAGAGUGGCAUGGACCUAUAGACACUACCAAAUGUAAAAUAGAUAGCUAGUGGGAAGCAGCUGCAUAGCACAGGGAGAUCAGCUCAGUGCUUUGUGACCACCUAGAGGGGUGGAAUAGGGAAGGUGGGAGGGAGACUCAAGAGGGAGGGGAUAUGGGGAUAUAUAUAUACGUAUAGCCGAUUCACUUUGUUAUACAGCAGAAACUAACGCAACAUUGUAAAGUAAUUAUACUCUAAAAAUAAUAAUAAUAAUGUUACAUUUAUGGAAAAUUAUGCAACAAUUUAAAAUGUUUAAUCUUAAAGACUGAGUAGCAAACAUGAUAAAUGGUUAUAACACACUCUUACGUCAUCUUAGAGGCUCAGAAAACAGAAGGAGAUUUCUGAGAUGCACAGUUCUCAGAAGAUAUGGAACUAGGAUGCAAAUUUCCCUCUAUGUUAAACAAGUUCUGAGCAGAUAGCUGUGCGUCAUGAUUGGAUGACCAUAUUGUAUCAGUAACAAACUGAGAAGCCUAUGACUCCGUGUAUAGAGUUUACAGUUCUCAGCAAACAAAUCUCACCAAAAAUGUUACUCUGGCACUUACCAAAUGAGCAACAUAGUGAUUCCUGAAGAGAAUAAUAAGUAUACCCAAAUGUUCACCUACUCUGUUCUCAUGAGGGACGAUGUAUAACCAGCAGGGCUUUAGGACUCAGUUGGAAGGGGUUUCCUUUUCACAGGCUCUCCAGCCGUCAUUCAUACCAACAGUAGCUCCUGAUGCCAUAGGCUCUUGACUCAUCAUUGUGGUCACCAGCCUACUCACUCUUGCCAAACACUUCCACCAUCUUCAUGUCUGUGUAAUACUCCUUCUACCCAGAAUGCCCUUCUUCUGUCCAGAAACUCAUUUACCCCUGAGCUCAAAGGCCACCUCCUCUGAGGAGUGUUCCUGAUGCAUUCCCCAUCAGGGUUAGAGCUUCUUUCCAGGACUUCCCUGCCCUUCUUUUUAUUUCCACACUGCUCUACUGUGUUAUAGUAAAUUGCAAUUCCAUCUGUUUCCUCACUGAGAUUGAGAGUUUCUCCAAAUCUGAAUCAUGUUGAACUCAUAGCAAAAUGGAUCAUAUAUGGGAUCUGGAGUUGGAUAAACCUGAUUUUAGAUUUUGGCCACACACACAAGCUCUAUGACCUUGGACAAGUUGCUGAGCUUCUCUGAACUUCUGUUUCUUCAUCAAUACAAUAGAGGUCAAAGAAAACCUGUUCAUUAGGCUCUUAACACAUGCUAAAUGCCCAACAAAUGUUAGCUGUGCACUCAGGCGGUGAACCCCUGGUGUAGACCAAGACCAAAGUCUUUUGGCUCCCAACUUAGCGCGGCACCUUCUGGGCCAGGGGAGGUGUAUGAUGCGUGGAACACCCAGCUCCUUGAGCCAACAAGAGUCCAGCUCUGGAAAUCCCUUGGAGCCCUCAGACAUUGGGGAAAUCCCUUCACACAUCUCCUUCUGCCGCCGCAGUGAGGAGGCCCAGGAAUAGAUCACUGUAGGGGUAGGAGUCAGAACGGUGAGCCACUGUCCAGGCUUCUGCCUCCUCCGUGUCCUGGGCCAACACAUAGUGAGUCACUAUCAACAUCAUCCAUGACACCCACUGGUCUUGGAGCCUAUGACCUCAUGACAUGAAGAAACUUUCCUUCUAACGAGCAUCACUUUCAGGAAACCAAAGAGUUGUCUCUGCUUCUAUUAAUGUUGCUCUGAACUUACCUCUAAGUGACUCCUUAACCCUGAAAUUACUUGUUGGGGACCUCAUCUUCUGUGUUACUGAGACCAAUUAAGACAUUUGUCAGGAACUUCCUUGACUUCCUUCCUCCGAACUGCUGCAGAACCAUAACAACGCAUAAUGAAUGAUAAAAAUCACACAAUCUGGAAUCAGAUUGGACCCAGAGGUGAGGCUGGUUUCGGUCUGCUAUUAGCUGAGUAAUUUUUAGCAUAUUUUCUAACCUCUGGCCACUUAUCUGGGCUACUAACCUGUGAGAAUCAGGUUAAAAAAAAAUAAACCUCCAAGAUGCCGUGAGGAUUACAUACCGUAACUUAGUGAAAGAACCAGAAACCUUGUAGGUACUCAACAAAUAGGGAUUAUCCACUUGUCUUCCUUUCAAAAUAUUGCUGUUCCUUACUUUCCAUCCCUGAAGUUCCAGCUGUUGGAGGGACAUGUUCCCAAUAAAAUGUACCCUACAUAUGACAUCCAGAAUGCCCAAAACAGAAUCUGUCAGCUUUCCGCUCCACCCUUCAGACUACUCUGUUUAUAUUGAUGACACACCCUUCUUGUAUUCGUUUCCUAUUACUACUGUAUAUAACAAAUGACCAAAAA